rnacentral:rRNA from 1 species
CAAUAGCGUAUAUUAAAGUUGUUGCAGUUAAAAAGCUCGUAGUUGAACUUCGGAACCGGUCGAUUGGUCCGUCCUCUGGAUUGUGUACUGAUCGAUCUGUUCUUCUUCGCGAAGACCGCGUGUGCCCUUAACUGGGUGUGCACGGGAUUCACGACGUUUACUUGAAAAAAUUAGAGUGUUCAAAGCAGGCAUUCGCUUGAAUAUCUCAGCAUGGAAUAAUAGAAUAGGACUUUGGUCUUAUUUUGUUGGUUUCCGAGACCGAAGUAAUGAUAAUAGGGAUAGUUGGGGGCAUUAGUACUUAACUGUCAGAGGUGAAAUUCUUGGAUUUGUUAAAGACUAACUUAUGCGAAAGCAUUUGCCAAGGAUGUUUUCAUUAAUCAAGAACGAAAGUUAGGGGAUCAAAGAUGAUCAGAUACCA